rnacentral:rRNA from 1 species
GAUGAACGCUGGCGGCGUGCCUAAUACAUGCAAGUCGAGCGAAUGGAUUAAGAGCUUGCUCUUAUGAAGUUAGCGGCGGACGGGUGAGUAACACGUGGGUAACCUGCCCAUAAGACUGGGAUAACUACGGGAAACCGGGGCUAAUACCGGAUAACAUUUUGAACCGCAUGGUUCGAAAUUGAAAGGCGGCUUCGGCUGUCACUUAUGGAUGGACCCGCGUCGCAUUAGCUAGUUGGUGGGGUAACGGCUCACCAAGGCAACGAUGAGUAGCCGACCUGAGAGGGUGAUCAGCCACACUGGGACUGAGACACGGCCCAGACUCCUACGGGAGGCAGCAGUAGGGAAUCUUCCGCAAUGGACGAAAGUCUGACGGAGCAACGCCGCGUGAGUGAUGAAGGCUUUCGGGUCGUAAAACUCUGUUGUUAGGGAAGAACAAGUGCUAGUUGAAUAAGCUGGCACCUUGACGGUACCUAACCAGAAAGCCACGGCUAACUACGUGCCAGCCGCCGCAGUAA